rnacentral:tRNA from 1 species
AUCUCAGUAGUGUAAAUUAACACACUUCAUUUUCGUUGAUGAGAAGAAUAUAAUUCCUGAGAUA